UACGUAGGGGGCUAGCGUUGUCCGGAAUCAUUGGGCGUAAAGCGCGCGUAGGCGGCCAGAUAAGUCCGGUGUGAAAGUCACAGGCUCAACCUGUGAAUGCCGCUGGAAACUGUCUGGCUUGAGUCCGGAAGGGGCGAGUGGAAUUCCUGGUGUAGCGGUGGAAUGCGCAGAUAUCAGGAGGAACACCAAUAGCGAAGGCAGCUCGCUGGGACGGUACUGACGCUAAGGCGCGAAAGCGUGGGGAGCGAACAGG
rnacentral:rRNA from 1 species